UCUAAAUCGCCCCCUGAAAUUUCAAUGGCCGCAGAAUUUUAACUGUGCAAAGGUAGCAUAAUCAUUAGUCUUUUAAUUGAAGGCUGGAAUGAACGAUUGAACGAGAUAUAAACUGUUUCAGAUUAAUUUAUAGAAUUUUAUAUUUUAGUUAAAAAGCUAAAAUAAAUUUAAAAGACGAGAAGACCCUAUAGAUCUUUAUAUUUUCCUAGCUUAAUUUAAAUGAAGAUUUCUUAUUUAAUUAAUUUAUAUUAUAUUAUAUUGGGGUGAUAAUGAAAUUUGAAUAACUUUCAUAUUAAAUUAAYACAUUAAUUUAUGAGAAAUUGAUCCUUUUUGUUGAUUAAUAAUUUAAGUUACCUUAGGGAUAACAGCGUAAUUAUUUUGGAGAGUUCUUAUCGAUAAAAUAGAUUGCGACCUCGAUGUUGGAUUAAGAUUAAUUUUGGGUGCAGAAGCUUAAAAUAUUAAGUCUGUUCGACUUUUAAUUUCUUACAUG
rnacentral:rRNA from 1 species